GAUGAACGCUGGCGGCGUGCCUGAUACAUGCAAGUCGCGCGAAUGGAUUAAGAGCUUGCUCUUAUGAAGUUAGCGGCGGACGGGUGAGUAACACGUGGGUAACCUGCCCAUAAGACUGGGAUGACUCCGGGAAACCGGGGCUAAUACCGGAUAAUAUUUUGAACUGCAUGGUUCAAAAUUGAAAGGCGGCUUCGGCUUUCACUUAUGGAUCGACCCGCGUGGCAUUAGCUAUUUGGUGAGGUAACGGCGCACCAAGGCAACGAUGCGUAGCCGACCUGAGAGGGUGAUCGGCCACACUGGGACUGAGACACGGCCCAGACUCCUACGGGAGGCAGCAGUAGGGAAUCUUCCGCAAUGGACGAAAGUCUGACGGAGCAACGCCGCGGGAGUGAUGAAGGCUUUCGGGUCGUAAAACUCUGUUGUUAGGGAAGAACAAGUGUUAGUUGAAUAAGCUGGCACCUUGACGGUACCUAACCAGAAAGCCACGGCUAACUACGUGCCAGCAGCCGCCGUAA
rnacentral:rRNA from 1 species